rnacentral:rRNA from 1 species
AUUGAACGCUGGCGGCAUGCUUUACACAUGCAAGUCGAACGGCAGCACAGCAGAGGUAACUCUGUGGGUGGCGAGUGGCGAACGGGUGAGUAAUACAUCGGAACGUACCCUGUUGUGGGGGAUAACUACGCGAAAGCGUAGCUAAUACCGCAUACGCCCUGAGGGGGGAAAGCGGGGGGACCCUAAAUAGAGCGCACUGGGGAGUGCGUUGUAUUUAGGGCCUCGCGCAAUAGGAGCGGCCGAUGUCGGAUUAGCUAGUUGGUGAGGUAAAGGCUUACCAAGGCGACGAUCCAUAGCUGGUCUGAGAGGAUGAUCAGCCACACUGGGACUGAGACACGGCCCAGACUCCUACGGGAGGCAGCAGUGGGGAAUAUUGGACAAUGGGCGAAAGCCUGAUCCAGCCAUGCCGCGUGAGUGAUGAAGGCCCUAGGGUUGUAAAGCUCUUUCAACGGUGAAGAUAAAGACGGUAACCGUAGAAGAAGCCCCGGCUAACUUCGUG